rnacentral:rRNA from 1 species
CCUACGGGAGGCUGCAGUGGGGAAUAUUGGACAAUGGGCGAAAGCCUGAUCCAGCCAUGCCGCGUGUGUGAAGAAGGCCUUCGGGUUGUAAAGCACUUUCAGUGGGGAAGAAAGCCUUGGGGCUAAUACCCUCGAGGAAGGACAUCACCCACAGAAGAAGCACCGGCUAACUCCGUGCCAGCAGCCGCGGUAAUACGGAGGGUGCGAGCGUUAAUCGGAAUUACUGGGCGUAAAGCGCGCGUAGGCGGUCUGAUAAGCCGGUUGUGAAAGCCCCGGGCUCAACCUGGGAACGGCAUCCGGAACUGUCAGGCUAGAGUGCAGGAGAGGAAGGUAGAAUUCCCGGUGUAGCGGUGAAAUGCGUAGAGAUCGGGAGGAAUACCAGUGACGAAGGCGGCCUUCUGGACUGACACUGACGCUGAGGUGCGAAAGCGUGGGUAGCAAACAGGAUUAGAUACCCCUGUAGUC